rnacentral:misc_RNA from 1 species
GGAAAAUCUCAUUCUCUCUUCAUUCAUUCUCCUCUGCAAACUUACCGUAAUCCACAGUUCCAACUUACAGCUUAUUCUAUAUCUGAUUCUUUAAGAACUCGUUGAAGUUAUGGCGUCCCGUUUUUGGACUCAGGGUGAUAGUGAUACGGAAGAGGAGGAGGAGAGUGAUUACGAGGUGGAGGAUGAUGCGCCAGCUGAAAAUCCAGAUGCACCGUCUGGGCCUGGGGCAAGAUAUCUUGCAGCUGAUGAUAGCGAUAGUGAUGAAUCGGAUGGUCAGAAGCGAGUUGUCCGGUCAGCCAAGGACAAGCGUUUUGAGGAGUUGUCAGCUACAGUUGAUCAGAUGAAGAAUGCUAUGAAGAUUAAUGACUGGGUUAGCUUGCAGGAGAGCUUUGACAAGAUUAAUAAGCAGCUGGAGAAGGUCAUGCGCAUUACAGAAUCUAUUAAACCACCAAAUCUCUACAUCAAAGCUCUAGUGAUGCUGGAGGAUUUUUUGAAUCAGGCCUUGGCCAACAAGGAGACUAGGAAGAAGAUGAGUAGUAGUAAUGCUAAAGCCUUAAAUUCAAUGAAACAGAAACUGAAAAAGAAUAAUAAGCAGUACGAGGAGUUGAUUAAUAAGUAUAGGGAAAAUCCUCCAGUGAGCGAGGAGGAGGGUGGUGAUGAUGAAGAGUCGGAAGAGGAAGAAGAAGAGGACGACUUUGAGGAGGACCCAACAAAGAUUGCAGCUGCAUCUGCAUCUGAUGAUGAUGAUCCGGACACGAUAGGUGAUGGGUGGGAGAAGAAGGUGAACAAGAAAGACAAACUUCUGGAUAAACAGUUUAAAGAUCCGAGUCAAAUCACGUGGGAGAUAGUCAACAAGAAGUUCAAGGAAAUCGUUGCUGCUAGGGGUAGAAAGGGGACUGGAAAGAUGGAAUUGGUCGAACAGCUCACCUUCUUGACCAAGGUGGCCAAGACUCCAGCACAGAAGCUUGAAAUUCUGUUUGGUGUUGUGUCUGCACAGUUUGAUAUCAAUCCAGGUCUCAGUGGACACAUGCCUAUAAAUGUGUGGAAAAGGUGUGUGCAAAAUAUGCUUACAAUCCUUGAUGUUUUGACCCAAUACCCAAACAUUGUGGUUGAUGACAUGGUGGAGCCUGAUGAGAAUGAGACUCAGAAAGGAGCAGACCACUCAGGAACUACAAGGAUCUGGGGAAACUUGGUUGCCUUUGUUGAAAGGAUUGAUGUAGAGUUUUUCAAGAGCUUGCAGGUAAUUGAUCCACAUACCAGCCAGUAUGUUGAGAGGCUGAGGGAUGAGCCGUUGUUUUUGGUUCUUGCUCAAAAUGUCCAGCGUUAUUUAGAACAGGUGGGUGACUAUAAGGGUGCUGCCAAAGUGGCUCUUAAACAGGUUGAAUUUAUCUAUUAUAAACCGC